UGGGGAAUAUUGGACAAUGGGGGAAACCCUGAUCCAGCAAUGCCGCGUGAGUGAAGAAGGCCUUAGGGUUGUAAAGCUCUUUCGCCCGCGAAGAUAAUGACGGUAGCGGGAGAAGAAGCCCCGGCUAACUCCGUGCCAGCAGCCGCGGUAAUACGGAGGGGGCUAGCGUUGUUCGGAAUUACUGGGCGUAAAGCGUACGUAGGCGGAUGCGCAAGUUGGGGGUGAAAUCCCGGGGCUUAACCUCGGAAUUGCCCUCAAAACUGCACGUCUUGAGACCGAGAGAGGUAAGGGGAAUUCCUAGUGUAGAGGUGAAAUUCGUAGAUAUUAGGAAGAACACCAGUGGCGAAGGCGCCUUACUGGCUCGGUACUGACGCUGAGGUACGAAAGCAUGGGGAGCAAACA
rnacentral:rRNA from 1 species